UACGUAGGGUGCGAGCGUUGUCCGGAAUUACUGGGCGUAAAGCGUGCGUAGACGGUUAUUUAAGUCGGGUGUGAAAGCCCCGGGCUCAACCUGGGAAUUGCAUUCGAGACUGAAUAGCUAGGGUACGGUAGAGGGAAGUGGAAUUUCCGGUGUAGCGGUGAAAUUCGUAGAUAUUGGGAAGAACACCGGUGGCGAAGGCGGCUCACUGGCUCGUAACUGACGCUCAUGCACGACAGCGUGGGGAUCAAACAGG
rnacentral:rRNA from 1 species